GAUGAACGCUAGCGGCAGGCUUAACACAUGCAAGUCGCGGGGCAGCGGGGGAUGAGCUUGCUCAUCCCGCCGGCGACCGGCGCACGGGUGAGUAACACGUAUGCAACCUGCCCCUGUCAGGGGGACAACCCACCGAAAGGUGGGCUAAACCCGCGUACAUCCGGAGGGGGCAUCCCCUUGGGAGGAAAGGAGCGAUCCGGACAGGGAUGGGCAUGCGGCGCAUUAGCUAGACGGCGGGGUAACGGCCCACCGUGGCGACGAUGCGUAGGGGUUCUGAGAGGAAGGCCCCCCACACUGGUACUGAGACACGGACCAG
rnacentral:rRNA from 1 species